GUUCUGUCUGUGCAUGCAGCAUACCCAGGGGCUUCCAUCUAAGAGCUGCCUGCCCUCGUGCACCAGUGUGAGCAAAGCGUGGCACAAGUGCUGGCAGUGCUGCAGAGGGAGGGGACGUGAGGGCCACGGCCCCCGCUGCAGUACAAAAGCAGAUUGACCAGAUGCUUCCUUUAGACUUGACCCCUUCUGGAAGAAAAAAAUUGCCAAGAAGACUAACACUGGCAGCUAGUGUUCCUGAGUGGUUUUAAAGUGGGAGAAGGCCACAGAGGAAGAGGACAGGGCAGGACAUGACUGUUGAGCAAUGGCUGAGCUCCUGCACUGAGGAGGCAUUGCUAAAUCUGCAGCUGCAAUGAGGGCUGCUUACCAGCACAGGCAAGGACCAUGUUGCUGGAGGAGAGGUGUCAGCCUCCUAAGAGCAGCGCAGAGGAGGAAACUCAGGAGCCUGAAGCACAGCGACCUCCUAAGAACAGACAAAGCAGGGUGAAGCAACAAAGGCUUUCAACUGAAAGCAAAUGCUGACAGAAACAUUGUUCUGGGUGCAUGGCCUGUGGCCAGUGCUCCUGGAGGGAAUGCUGUACGCUGCAGUGGGACAUGGUGCUGCUGCAGGCCUCGCCCUUCCCUGGCUCACGAGGCAUGUGGUAGUACAUGCCCAUGUUAGUUCUUGCUAAUGUGUGGCUCAAUGUUUUAGAUUUUCUUAUAUUGCUUUCAAGCCUGAUAUUAAGUCUUACUGCUAUAAACAGCUGGUUGCUUUAUAUAGGCUAAAAAAAGUUAGUGGAGAAAAUGAGAAAUUAAUUAGAAUUUUAUUUAUGUGUAUUCUUGUUUCUUUUUCCACUCCAUCCUGCAGACCUGGAUAACCUUCAAAAUUAAUUUCAUUUUCUUAUUAUCUUUCUUUAUUUUUUAAAUUUCCAUUUUCCCUUUUUAUUCUCAUUUUUUGACCCUGGAAAUAAUUGAAAGAUAUGUAGAGAAAGGCACUGUUUCCCUGAAUGCAAGAACCGUCCAAACACUAACUCUGGGCUGAUGUUCUAAACCUGUUGGACAUGCAAAAAUUGGUUGCUUAAGGCCUGUGUUUGAUUUUGUUAAAAAAAAAAGGUCUGAAUCUCUAACAUAAUGGCACCUGUCUCAUUCUCCUUACUGGCUUGGGGGAGACCUGCCAAUUGCAAAAUCACACCGAUACAAUUAGUCCUGUCAUCAGCCAGAGGGACACAAUAAGCCAGCCCCUGACAAGAACUGCUCGUCAUACCUGUGCGUCCUGCUACUCUUCUGCACAAGGCAGAGAGGAAGGCCAGUCCUGCAGUGCUGCCUCUGGAUUUACCCUCUGGCUUACUUGGAUUACUCUGGUUUGCUGGCGCAGAGGAAGCAAGUUACAAGGUUCUGGCUCUCUGAAGAAUACAGCAUACAAACACUGUCCCUUUUUUGUUUUUGAGUGAGAGCAGACAUCUUGAAUGGGCAAGUUUUGUUGUCCUUGAGGGUUUUAUGGGCCACCAUAAAGCCAGAGUGGUCAAUCUCUUUGAAUGAGGCUCAAAGACAAUGUGAGGAUGGUGCAGGGAGACCUGCAAUUGUGCCAUUUCCAGCAGUGGCAAGCCAGCUAUGCCAGCCUGAGAUGGAAUUAGCUGCAUACAUUAAUUUCAGACUAUGUAUCUUGCCUUCUGGUCAGACACAGGCAAAUAAUGCCAUUCUCAAUAGCAAAUUAAUUUCUGUUUGUUUAAGCAAAGCCAUGUUAAGGCUUCACUGUGGAUGCUCACAAAUAUCCCUCUUUGGCAAACCAAACUUUCCCAGUGGGUGCAAGAGGAAUAAACUCCUGGGUACAAGGAAUAUAUUUUUGUUCUUUGACAUUUCCGCUUAUUCUGUGAGUGACCAGACCUUCCAUCUGUGGAACUGAGUUGCAUUAUCACAGCUAUUUCCAGCAGGUGGCAGAUGAUAAUCAUGCUAGUAACCUAAUCUGGGUACAAAUGAUGUGUUUUCCAGGCUGUCUACUCAGAUAUUGACUUAAAUCUACACAUUAUCUAGUGGCUAUAAAUGUUUCCGAAAGCAAUAAACUAAGAUUGCGUAAUUGGAGCCCAUUAGUAGUUACCCAUGGUGCUAUGUAAUUAAAUACUUGGGUAUCAAGUGUGAUAUGAUUUUUAUUUUUAAAUUCAGCCUUGAUUUUUUUAAUCUCCCAGAUCAGAGAAAUUGCUUCUAUUCCAAAAACCUCCAAAUAACCAUUUGGCUAACUGUGUUUCAUGGUAUAAGAUUAUCUUUGCUCAUCAACUGUGGAGGGAUAAUGCUCCUCCAUGUAGUCAUGCCUGGAUAGUUAACUGAUGCUUCAAAGAAUUAUGGGUUAAAAAACAG